UACGAAGGGACCUAGCGUAAUUCGGAAUUACUGGGCGUAAAGCGCGCGUAGGCGGUUAAGUAAGUUAAUUGUGAAAGCCCAAAGCUCAACUUUGGAAUUGCAAUUAAAACUACUUAGCUAGAGUUUAUCAGAGGAAAGCGGAAUACAUAGUGUAGAGGUGAAAUUCGUAGAUAUUAUGUAGAACACCAGUUGCGAAGGCGGCUUUCUGGGAUAAUACUGACGCUGAGGUGCGAAAGUAUGGGUAGCGAAGAGG
rnacentral:rRNA from 1 species